rnacentral:rRNA from 1 species
GACAGAGGGUGCAAACGUUGUUCGGAAUUACUGGGCGUAAAGCGCGUGUAGGCGGCCCUGCAAGUCGGAUGUGAAAUCCCACGGCUCAACCGUGGAAGUGCAUUCGAAACUGCAGGGCUAGAGUCCUGGAGAGGAAGGUGGAAUGCUUGGUGUAGAGGUGAAAUUCGUAGAUAUCAAGCGGAACACCGGUGGCGAAGGCGGCCUUCUGGACAGUGACUGACGCUGAGACGCGAGAGCGUGGGGAGCAAACAGG